CAGAAUUCCAUUUCCCUACUCAUUUAUUCACAUUCAAAAGCUAUGACAUUGCUUCUUCCAAGCAAGAUUUUAUUCUAGGAGCUCCAGGAGUCAAACAAAAAACUCAUUUGUCUCAAGGAGAGGGGAUAUCACCACAUCUAAGGAGCUGCCUGACUAGAUUUUGCUUAAUAUGUAUAAAGCGUGACACCAUGGCCAUA